UACGUAGGUGGCAAGCGUUGUUCGGAAUGACUGGGCGUAAAGGGCGUGUAGGUGGACUGAUCAGUCGGGUGUGAAAUAUCCAGGCUCAACCUGGAGGGUGCAUCCGAUACGGUCAGUCUUGAGUGCAGGAGAGGGCAGUGGAAUUCCCAGUGUAGCGGUGAAAUGCGUAGAUAUCACAAGGAACACCAGAGGAGAAGUCGGGCGACUGGACAGGUACUGACGCUGAGGUGCAAAAGCGUGGGUAGCAAACAGGA
rnacentral:rRNA from 1 species